GACCAUGGUCUAGGGUGCAGCUUGAAAAAGCAGGGGGAUGGGGAGAGGGGGAUUGGACUGCAGCUUUCAGAAUCCCAUAGCCAGGAUGGCCAGUGGCUGAUCAGUUCAGAGAACAGCUUGGAAAGUUUUUGGAGGCUAUUUGCCAUGGAACCUGGAUUUGGAAGAAGCUCCAGAAACGAACUAGGAUGUUGAGCUCAUCAAUGAACAGAUGGGUUGGUCAGUGCUUGGAUCUGACCCCUUGCAGGUGCCAACCUACUUUGCUGCUGUAAUCAAUAAAAGUUGUGGCCAACUUCUUUCCAACUCCUUGUGUGUGGCAGUUUUUUUUGUG